GAGCCACCCUGGGAAACCCGCUAAAUUGGUCCACCAAAAGAAAAAAAUGUUGUCCAUCGACUUCAAAUAGAUCCACGGAGACCCAUUCCAUCGGGAAAAAAGCUGCCCCCAAUUGGACAGGCUCAAAUGGUUGAGACGGCAGAGCCUCUAAACUGACAGAACAGCUAGCAACCUUGACUCGGAUUUCGUUGGACAUAUUUGGCCAAGUGUAGAGCUAGCAGGCUAAUGUGUAAGUUUUGGUCAUUCCAGAAUGUGAUGAAUGGAGGAGAUCAACCACGCGAGACCUGGCCGGUGUGGGAACCACUAGGCGAGAUCCAUGGAGGAUCAGAUUGCCUUCCAGGCGAAGAUCAUUGAAAAUUGCCAAAAAAUGACUCAGAGACGGGAGUAAAUUGCCAGUUCGAACACAUUCACGAAGAUCGCGAUACUCGUCAUCUUCGUUGUUUCGUAUGAGAGAUAAAGCCGGAUCAGUCGUGUCGAUAGCAGCACACACGUCAAUUUCCAGAUCAGAAUCGGAGGGGAAAAAUGGCGCACGGCUCAAGGCAUUGGCGAUCAAGUGUGUUUUGCCAGAUGACCACUGCUGCAAAAGUGUACAUCACCAAACUUUCGCAGAUCCACUGAAGCCGGUCAUUGGACAGUGAUGAUAAUGGUUUUUCAAAAAUCCCAAGAAGUGGGCCAUGAUCGGUGAUGACUUUAAAUCCUCGAAGGCCGCGGAGAGAGCGAUCGAGAACCACACUGAAUCAGCCGAGGAUUACCAAAGUUAUCUCGUUGAAUAAGGGCAUAUCCAAGACCAUGAAGCCGCGACGCAUCGGUGAGGAGCUCGGUCUUGAGAUUUGGGUUGAAUGGUGCCACGAUUGCUGAUGAGCAAAGAAUAUCCUUGGCUCGGAGAAACUCAAUAUCGUGCGUAUCAAGCCACACAAAAGCGUUCUUUUUCUUAAGGAGUUCUCGCAUUGCAACCGUGGAAUGUGCCAAAUCAGGUGUUGGAAAUUUUUUAAUGGAUGCAACCUUGGAAGGAUCUGGCCGGACACCUUCAGGACUUACAAUGAAGCCCGCAAAUUUCAUUGAUUGUCCGACCUCGAGCUUGGCCAGAGCAAGCAUAAUGCCAGCUUUUCGACACCUUUCAAGGACGAUACGUAAACGUCGGAAAAGCUCGUCGCGGGAAGGUGCUUGGACAAGCAUGUCGUCCACAAUUUUCAUUAGCCAACCCAAACCGGCGACGGCUGCAUCUGUCCGAAUAUUAAAUUCGUCCGAACACGAAUUUAAUCCCAUAGGGGCUACUUCUUAAAAACUCGACGAUCUUGAUCGAGAGAAACUCGACUCCCUGAUCGAAGGGUGGCUGCUGCUGUCACGUGAACGAAAUCCCCAACAGGUGGUCAAUUAUAUCUCUCGCACAAUGGAUCUCGGACAAAAUUUAUAUCACCUCUUGCUUUACGGAAGUUUUGAAUUGCUCCCGGCAACGAAAAAUGUGUUGAAUAUGGGCGAGCUAUAUGGCUAUCAAUUCCAACACUAUUAGGAACCAAAAGCACUUCUAAACAAAAUGUUUCGAUGGUGAGCUAAAAGUACUCUGACCAACACAACAUGACCGCACUAAAGAGGGGAUUAUGAAGUUCUUUGUCACUGGCUUUCACUGUCAGUGUAACUCAGGGCACAGAAUUCUAUCUUGGAAAAUCUGGAAAAAAUAAAUCCGAAUGUUUGUGGGCACUCAGGGCACAGAAUUCUGUCUUGUAAGCUCUGAAACAAAUUCUUAUAUUUCCACCUGGGCAAAGCAGUCAAUCGUCUUGCGACACCAAACAAAUCGCAAAUCAAAAUUUAUUCACGGGAAUCUAAAAAUCCCGGGUCGCGGCACCAAAAAGAGACUAUGUUCCGUCCACCAGCCAGGGGUGAAAGGUCCUGACUUAUUGAAUUCCCGUGGUGAACGGAAACAUGGAAUUCCUCACCCAAGCACUAGGCAAAAAUACCGUGAUAGCUCUCAAAGAUAGAGAGCACCUAGUACAUGGGCUUAAAUUUCUUUGACCUAUCUUAAGGCCUCCGGUUUUAACCCUAAUCAGGGCAGACGAGCAAUAAUUCGAGCUUCCUUUAUCAGGGCCUCAAACAAUCA